rnacentral:lncRNA from 1 species
UAUAUCUUAUAUCGAAUGUAGCUUAUAUAUACUAUACUAUACUAUACUAUACUAUAUAUAGUGUAAUAUGUAAUAAAUUAGAAAUCAGUUCCGACUGAUUUCGGUAGGUGACGUCCAGUCAAACGGUCAAAUUAUAAUUAAUAGUACCGACCAAAAAAUUUUGACCGACUUCGAUCGGAAAUUUCUAAUUAACAACAGCCGAAGCGGAGUUCUUCCCCAUUUUUCUCUUUACUCUUUCUCUCUUCCUUCUUCCACAUCUGAAAAUCCUACCCUAAUUAACUUCACCACUCUCUUCUCACCCAAAAUCAAAUCCCCCACUUUGUCUCUCCCGCGCCACCACUAUUUUUCCGCUGCCAUUGCACCUCCGCCAUAGAAGGCCGCCCCACAACUGCUCCAAAAUCAUACUCCUCUCUCUCUCUUUCAAGGUUAGUUAUCUAUAUUUGUUAAUUUUAAUUAUUUAAGUUCUUUCAAUUGUAUAAAUUAGGAUUUACAAUUUUGGAUUUUGGGAUUAUUUCAAUUGUAUGAUUACAUGGUCAUGAUUUUUGGAGUAGUACUAUAUGAAAGUCAAAAAAUUUAUUAGAUUCUUUCUUACAUAUUUUCAAUGAGUUUAAUUUUUAUAUUCUAACAAUGUGAAAGAAAUUACAAUUCAAUGUCACUUUAAAUAUAAUUCAAAAAGGUAACUUCACAUAAUCAGUGAAGUUGCUAAUGUUAAGUAAUGUUUUUUAUUAGUGUGUAUAUCGUAGUUGGAUGUAUAAUAGGUUUUUUGUCUAAUUUAUUAUUUUAGAUUUUAAUUUAUUAUUAUAUUAGUGUUUAUUGCUUUAGAAAAUUAGGCUUAACUAAAUAUGCUAGAUUAAUUGAGUGUGCUAAUAAAUUAUAAUUUAUUAUGUAACUUAAUUCUAUAAAUUAAUUUGAAUUAUGAUUAAUAAGACUGUAAUUUAUUUGUUCUUUAUGUAGAUGGAAUAUCGUAGUC